CAUGAUGACAAGCAAAUGCUGAC
rnacentral:piRNA from 1 species